rnacentral:rRNA from 1 species
AACGAACGUUAGCGGCGCGCCUAAUACAUGCAAGUCGAGCGAGAAAGGGAUUCGUCCCCAGUAAAGCGGCGCACGGGUGAGUAACACGUAGGUAAUAUACCCUCGGGUGGUGGAUAACAUUCCGAAAGGAGUGCUAAUACAGCAUAACACCGCAAGGUCAAAGCGGGCCUCUCUACAGAAGCUCGCGCCUGAGGAUUAGCCUGCGGCCCAUCAGCUAGUUGGCAGUGUAAUAGACUACCAAGGCUAAGACGGGUAGCUGGUCUGAGAGGAUGAACAGCCACACUGGAACUGAGACACGGUCCAGACUCCUACGGGAGGCAGCAGUAGGGAAUCUUGCGCAAUGGGCGAAAGCCUGACGCAGCGACGCCGCGUGAGUGAUGAAGGCCCUCGGGUUGUAAAGCUCUGUGGGGAGAGAAGAAUAAGUGCAAGCUAAUACUUUGCAUGAUGACGGUAUCUCCUUAGCAAGCACCGGCUAACUCUGUGCCAGCCGCCGCAGUAA